UGCUGCAGCUGCAGCUGCUGCUGCUGCUGGAGUGGUGGCUGCGGCGGCGCUUGCUGCAGCUGGAGCUGCAGUU
rnacentral:sRNA from 1 species